rnacentral:ncRNA from 1 species
UUUAUUAAGAAUGGUGGAGGGACUGGCCCUAUGAAACCUGGCAACAGCUGACAUAAAGUCAGAAUUGUGCUAAAUCCUGCAGGAUAUAUUUCCUGAAAGAUAAA